CAAUAGCGUAUAUUUAAGUUGCUGCAGUUAAAAAGCUCGUAGUUGGAUUUCGGGUGGGAAUGGCCGGUCCGCCGUUUCGGUGUGCACUUGCUACGCCCACCUUGCUGCCGGGGACGUGCUCUUGGGUUUCGGCUCGGGACACGGAGUCGGCGAGGUUACUUUGAGUAAAUUAGAGUGUUCAAAGCAGGCCUACGCUCUGAAUACAUUAGCAUGGAAUAACACGAUAGGACUCUGGCCUAUCUUGUUGGUCUGUAGGACCGGAGUAAUGAUUAAGAGGGACAGUCGGGGGCAUUCGUAUUUCAUUGUCAGAGGUGAAAUUCUUGGAUUUAUGAAAGACGAACUACUGCGAAAGCAUUUGCCAAGGAUGUUUUCAUUAA
rnacentral:rRNA from 1 species